rnacentral:rRNA from 1 species
UGAGGGUAGCAAUAUUUUCAAGUUGGAGCGGCGCAAGGGUGCGUAACACGUGGGUAAUCUGCCGUGAAGUUUGGGAUAACUUGCUGAAAGGCGAGCUAAUACCGGAUGUGACAGCUGGGAGGCAUCUUCUGGUUGUUAAAGUUGGGGACCGCAAGGCCUGACGCUUCAUGAUGAACCCGCGGCCUAUCAGGUAGUUGGCGAGGUAACGGCUCACCAAGCCUAAGACGGGUAGCUGGUCUGAGAGGACGACCAGCCACACUGGAACUGAGACACGGUCCAGACACCUACGGGUGGCAGCAGUCGAGAAUUUUUCACAAUGGGGGAAACCCUGAUGGAGCGACGCCGCGUGGGGGAUGAAUGGCUUCGGCCCGUAAACCCCUGUCAUUCGCGAUCAAUGCGCAUUGUUUAAGAGAUGAUGCGUUGAUAGUAGCGGAAGAGGAAGGGACGGCUAACUCUGUGCCAGCAGCCGCGGUAAUACAGAGGUCCCGAGCGUUGUUCGGAUUCACUGGGCGUAAAGGGUGCGUAGGUGGUGGCGUAAGUCGGAUGUGAAAUCUCGGAGCUCAACUCCGAAAUGGCAUUGGAAACUGCGCUGCUUGAGGGUUGGAGGGGGGACUGGAAUUCUCGGUGUAGCA